rnacentral:rRNA from 1 species
UACGGGGGGGGCAAGCGUUGUUCGGAAUUACUGGGCGUAAAGGGCGCGUAGGCGGCCUGCUAAGUUGGACGUGAAAUCCCCCGGCUUAACCUGGGAACUGCGUCUGAUACUGGGAGGCUUGAGUAUGGGAGAGGGAUGUAGAAUUCCAGGUGUAGCGGUGAAAUGCGUAGAUAUCUGGAGGAAUACCGGUGGCGAAGGCGGCAUCCUGGACCAUUACUGACGCUGAGGCGCGAAAGCUAGGGGAGCAAACGGG